GCCAGGCAUGGUGGCGCACGCCUGUAACUCCAACAACUUGGGAGGCUGAGGCAGGAGAAUCACAAAUUCAAGACCAGCCUCAGCAACUUAGUGCGGCCCUAAGCAACUCAGUGAGACCUUGUCUCAA
rnacentral:sRNA from 1 species